rnacentral:rRNA from 1 species
GCUCAGGAUGAACGCUGGCGGCGUGCCUAAUACAUGCAAGUCGAGCGAACAGACAAGGAGCUUGCUCCUUUGACGUUAGCGGCGGACGGGUGAGUAACACGUGGGUAACCUACCUAUAAGACUGGGAUAACUUCGGGAAACCGGAGCUAAUACCGGAUAAUAUUUCGAACCGCAUGGUUCGAUAGUGAAAGAUGGUUUUGCUAUCACUUAUAGAUGGACCCGCGCCGUAUUAGCUAGUUGGUAAGGUAACGGCUUACCAAGGCGACGAUACGUAGCCGACCUGAGAGGGUGAUCGGCCACACUGGAACUGAGACACGGUCCAGACUCCUACGGGAGGCAGCAGUAGGGAAUCUUCCGCAAUGGGCGAAAGCCUGACGGAGCAACGCCGCGUGAGUGAUGAAGGUCUUCGGAUCGUAAAACUCUGUUAUUAGGGAAGAACAUACGUGUAAGUAACUAUGCACGUCUUGACGGUACCUAAUCAGAAAGCCACGGCUAACUACGUGCCAGCAGCCGCGGUAAUACGUAGGUGGCAAGCGUUAUCCGGAAUUAUUGGGCGUAAAGCGCGCGUAGGCGGUUUUUUAAGUCUGAUGUGAAAGCCCACGGCUCAACCGUGGAGGGUCAUUGGAAACUGGAAAACUUGAGUGCAGAAGAGGAAAGUGGAAUUCCAUGUGUAGCGGUGAAAUGCGCAGAGAUAUGGAGGAACACCAGUGGCGAAGGCGACUUUCUGGUCUGUAACUGACGCUGAUGUGCGAAAGCGUGGGGAUCAAACAGGAUUAGAUACCCUGGUAGUCCACGCCGUAAACGAUGAGUGCUAAGUGUUAGGGGGUUUCCGCCCCUUAGUGCUGCAGCUAACGCAUUAAGCACUCCGCCUGGGGAGUACGACCGCAAGGUUGAAACUCAAAGGAAUUGACGGGGACCCGCACAAGCGGUGGAGCAUGUGGUUUAAUUCGAAGCAACGCGAAGAACCUUACCAAAUCUUGACAUCCUUUGACAACUCUAGAGAUAGAGCCUUCCCCUUCGGGGGACAAAGUGACAGGUGGUGCAUGGUUGUCGUCAGCUCGUGUCGUGAGAUGUUGGGUUAAGUCCCGCAACGAGCGCAACCCUUAAGCUUAGUUGCCAUCAUUAAGUUGGGCACUCUAAGUUGACUGCCGGUGACAAACCGGAGGAAGGUGGGGAUGACGUCAAAUCAUCAUGCCCCUUAUGAUUUGGGCUACACACGUGCUACAAUGGACAAUACAAAGGGCAGCGAAACCGCGAGGUCAAGCAAAUCCCAUAAAGUUGUUCUCAGUUCGGAUUGUAGUCUGCAACUCGACUACAUGAAGCUGGAAUCGCUAGUAAUCGUAGAUCAGCAUGCUACGGUGAAUACGUUCCCGGGUCUUGUACACACCGCCCGUCACACCACGAGAGUUUGUAACACCCGAAGCCGGUGGAGUAACCAUUUGGAGCUAGCCGUCGAAGGUGGGACAAAUGAUUGGGGUGAAG